rnacentral:rRNA from 1 species
GACAUUAGACGAAUCAUCUGGAAAGAUGAAUCAAAGAAGGUAAUAAUCCUGUAGUCGAAAAUGUUGUCUCUCUUGAGUGGAUCCUGAGUACGACGGAGCACGUGAAAUUCCGUCGGAAUCUGGGAGGACCAUCUCCUAAGGCUAAAUACUCUCUAGUGACCGAUAGUGAACCAGUACCGUGAGGGAAAGGUGAAAAGCACCCCGGAAGGGGAGUGAAAUAGAACCUGAAACCGUGUGCUUACAAGUAGUCAGAGCCCGUUAAUGGGUGAUGGCGUGCCUUUUGUAGAAUGAACCGGCGAGUUACGAUUUGAUGCAAGGUUAAGCAGUAAAUGUGGAGCCGUAGCGAAAGCGAGUCUGAAUAGGGCGUUUAGUAUUUGGUCGUAGACCCGAAACCAGGUGAUCUACCCUUGGUCAGGUUGAAGUUCAGGUAACACUGAAUGGAGGACCGAACCGACUUACGUUGAAAAGUGAGCGGAUGAACUGAGGGUAGCGGAGAAAUUCCAAUCGAACCUGGAGAUAGCUGGUUCUCUCCGAAAUAGCUUUAGGGCUAGCCUCAAGUGAUGAUUAUUGGAGGUAGAGCACUGUUUGGACGAGGGGCCCCUCUCGGGUUACCGAAUUCAGACAAACUCCGAAUGCCAAUUAAUUUAACUUGGGAGUCAGAACAUGGGUGAUAAGGUCCGUGUUCGAAAGGGAAACAGCCCAGACCACCAGCUAAGGUCCCAAAAUAUAUGUUAAGUGGAAAAGGAUGUGGCGUUGCCCAGACAACUAGGAUGUUGGCUUAGAAGCAGCCAUCAUUUAAAGAGUGCGUAAUAGCUCACUAGUCGAGUGACACUGCGCCGAAAAUGUACCGGGGCUAAACAUAUUACCGAAGCUGUGGAUUGUCCUUUGGACAAUGGUAGGAGAGCGUUCUAAGGGCGUUGAAGCAUGAUCGUAAGGACAUGUGGAGCGCUUAGAAGUGAGAAUGCCGGUGUGAGUAGCGAAAGACGGGUGAGAAUCCCGUCCACCGAUUGACUAAGGUUUCCAGAGGAAGGCUCGUCCGCUCUGGGUUAGUCGGGUCCUAAGCUGAGGCCGACAGGCGUAGGCGAUGGAUAACAGGUUGAUAUUCCUGUACCACCUAUAAUCGUUUUAAUCGAUGGGGGGACGCAGUAGGAUAGGCGAAGCGUGCGAUUGGAUUGCACGUCUAAGCAGUAAGGCUGAGUAUUAGGCAAAUCCGGUACUCGUUAAGGCUGAGCUGUGAUGGGGAGAAGACAUUGAGUCUUCGAGUCGUUGAUUUCACACUGCCGAGAAAAGCCUCUAGAUAGAAAAUAGGUGCCCGUACCGCAAACCGACAC